rnacentral:rRNA from 1 species
CACUAAGUUGAACUAACGAAGUCAGAUUGCUAAGACAGCUAGGAUGUUGGCUUGGAAGCAGCCAUUCAUUUAAAGAGUGCGUAACAGCUCACUAGUCGAGGAGUUUGGCGUGGAUAAUAAUCGGGCAUAAGUGUUUUACCGAAGCUAUGGGAUACGUAAGUAUCGGUAGGGGAGCAUUCCACUCUGCGUUGAAGGCGAAGCGUGAGCUUUACUGGAGCGUGUGGAAAAGCAAAUGUAGGUAUAAGUAACGAUAAAGGGGGUGAAAACCCCCCUCGCCGCAAGACUAAGGUUUCCUGAUCAACGCUAAUCGGAUCAGGGUUAGUCGGGUCCUAAGGCUCAGCCGAACGGUGAGGCCGAUGGCAGAACAGGUUAAUAUUCCUGUACUACCUGUA